GGAUGGAUCAUUACCAGUGAUAAACCCAUCACUACGUCUGUGAACUGUAUUGACUUCAACAGUUGGUGCUGCUUGCUUCAGGCAGGCUGACCCUGGGCUAGCCCCAAGACCAGGCAGGCCUGCAGGCUAUGUGCCAGCUGUUACCAGUACUUAACGUACUUUGACACUUCAUGUGACUGAUGUCUAUGAGACUACCAAACUAAAACAACUUUUAGCAACGGAUCUCUAGGCUCUCGCAACGAUGAAGAACGCAGCGAAUUGCGAUAAGUAAUGUGAAUUGCAAAUCCCGUGAAUCAUCAAGUCUUUGAACGCAUAUUGCGCUGCUUGUGUUCCAGGCAGCAUACCUGUUUGAGUAUCAGUUACCCUCUCUCCCUCACCCUUGCUAUCAAGGCUGGGUGUUGGGCAGGACUUGAGUCAUUGCCUAGCCUACUGGGAGCCUGCUCCUGCUAGGCCUUUGGCAUGACUUUAAAAGCAUUGCUGGCUUCCCUUGCACUCCAAGGCAUGGGCCUGCUGAGCUGACAGAAUUAGUAGGCUUUGGCCUAGUAACGUCUGUGUGGCUAGGCGGUCAGUGCUGUGUGAUAGGCACCAGGUCUUUACAAUAUCAAGGCCGCUCCCUUGUGGAAAAGCCUUGUGAUUUUGAUCUCAAAUCAGGUAAGAGUACCCGCUGAACUUAAGCAUAUUAAUAAGCGGAGGAAAAGAAACUAACUAGGAUUCCCUUAGUAACGGCGAGUGAAGAGGGAAGAGCUCAAAUUUAAAAUCUCCUUGGAGAAUUGUAGUUUAAAGAAGUGUUUUCGCUGGCAGCCUGGGUCCAAGUCCCUUGGAACAGGGCAUCAUAGAGGGUGAGAAUCCCGUCUUUGGCCUGGGUACUGUCACACUGUGAUACACUUUCAAAGAGUCGGGUUGUUUGGGAAUGCAGCCCUAAGUGGGUGGUAUAUUUCAUCUAAAGCUAAAUACCGGCGAGAGACCGAUAGCAAACAAGUACCGUGAGGGAAAGAUGAAAAGAACUUUGAAAAGAGAGUUAAAUAGUACGUGAAAUUGCUAAAAGGGAAACGAUUGAAAUCAGUGUUGGUUCCAGGACUUGUCCUGGUACCAGGUCAACAUCAGUUUGGGGCAGGGUAGAUUAGCAGAGGAAGGUGGCUCCCUUGGGAGUGUUAAGCCUCUGUGAGUGCCCUGCCUAGGACUGAGGACUGCACUGCAUGCCUUUGGCUGGUGACCCAGGUGCUGCUUCGAUCCUGGCCUGAGACAGCAUGCUGACUCUGAUCAUGGUGACUUGCACUCGCCUGGUUAGCACAAAUGCAGUGAGGAUGUUGACGAAAUGGUUUUAAACGACCCGUCUUGAAACACGGACCAAGGAGUCUAACAAUUAUGCAAGUGUUUGGGUGGUAAACCCAGGCGCGAAAUGAAAGUGAAUGUAGGAGGGAUCCCUUUGGGUGCACCUUUGACCGAUCUGGAUUUUUAUGAUAGAUUUGAGUAAGAGCAUAACUGUUGGGACCCGAAAGAUGGUGAACUAUGCCUGAAUAGGGUGAAGCCAGAGGAAACUCUGGUGGAGGCUCGCAGCGGUACUGACGUGCAAAUCGUUCGUCUAAUUUGGGUAUAGGGGCGAAAGACUAAUCGAACCAUCUAGUAGCUGGUUCCCUC
rnacentral:misc_RNA from 1 species